UUAAAUGAAAUUAAGUCUUUUGCUCUUCUUAUUAAUUAUGUUUCUUUCUCAUAUAUUGACAUGUGUACGAAAAUGCUUACUUACUCCAUUUUAAUUAUAAAUAUACUUAUCUUAGUGCUUUAGUCUUGUCAAAAACCAAUAGAUGAAACUGAAUUUUAUUGACUUUACUUUCUUUUUUUCUCUAACUCCAACCAUUUACUAUAGCAAGUUUCGAACUUUCGAUGCAAAUAAGUAUUUUUAGUUCAUCUAUUGACAUGUUGCUUCCUUAUUUUGCUUCAUUGGCAGGGAUUCUUAUAUAGUCUUCUUAUUAUUAUUAAAUCUCAAAAAUACAUAAGAAUGCAAAGUUUCACAGCUUCACUGGGAACUUCAUCCUCUGGUAGUAUUGCUUCAUUGGAUGAAACUUUUGAGAGGAUCAAAUCAGGCUUCAUUCACUUCAAGAAAGAGAAAUGAACAAGCUGAGGUGGAUGCUAAGAGGAUUGUUGUUGAUGUUAGCAGCAAGGCAGAGAGCAUCUUUGAUGCUUUGUCCAAAACAUAAGUUGCAUUAGAUGUUAUUGAAUUUUGGUCAGCUCUUUCUCGAUCACAUUGUAGCUUGGAUUUUGAACCAUUUUUGCAUUUUAUACUGUUAGGUCUGAUGUGGCUCUUCUUCAGCAAUUGUUUCAUUAUAAUUGCUUGCUUUCAAGAAGAAGCUUGCUCGAAGACUUCUUUUUGACAAGAGAGCCAAUGAUGAUCAUGAGAGAAGUAUUUUGACAAAAUUGAAGCAACAAUGUGGUGGAUAGUUUAAGCACAGAUGGAAGGAGUGGUUACAAACUUGACACUGGCAAAGGAGAAUCAAACUAGCUUUGAGGAGUAUUUAAGCAAUAAUCCUAAUACGGACCCUGGAAUAGACUUGACAGUUAUAGUUCUGACUACUGGCUUCUGGCCCAGUUACAAAUCUUUUAAUCUCAAUCUUCCAGCGAAAAUGGUAGUAUUGGAAUUAAGUAGAUUUUGGUCUACAAGUAACAGCUGCCCUUUCUUAAUAUCGAUUCGUUUCUUUUUUUUUUAUUUCCAAACUCUACUUGGAAUUGGAAUAAAUUUUCACAAACAGGGUAUGCUUUUGCGAUGAUGUGGUCACCAUAUAUAUAUAUAUAUUGGUUUUCCUUUGGUUUUAA